rnacentral:rRNA from 1 species
CGACCACAUAUCAUACGAGACGACCCGCUGAAUUUAA